CGAACGAUGAACCUCCUUCGGGAGGGGAUUAGUGGCGAACGGGUGAGUAACACGUGGGCAAUCUGCCCUGCACUCUGGGACAAGCCCUGGAAACGGGGUCUAAUACCGGAUACUGAUCAUCUUGGGCAUCCUUGGUGAUCGAAAGCUCCGGCGGUGCAGGAUGAGCCCGCGGCCUAUCAGCUUGUUGGUGAGGUAAUGGCUCACCAAGGCGACGACGGGUAGCCGGCCUGAGAGGGCGACCGGCCACACUGGGACUGAGACACGGCCCAGACUCCUACGGGAGGCAGCAGUGGGGAAUAUUGCACAAUGGGCGAAAGCCUGAUGCAGCGACGCCGCGUGAGGGAUGACGGCCUUCGGGUUGUAAACCUCUUUCAGCAGGGAAGAAGCGAAAGUGACGGUACCUGCAGAAGAAGCGCCGGCUAACUACGUGCCAGCAGCCGCGGUAAUACGUAGGGCGCGAGCGUUGUCCGGAAUUAUUGGGCGUAAAGAGCUCGUAGGCGGCUUGUCGCGUCGGUUGUGAAAGCCCGGGGCUUAACCCCGGGUCUGCAGUCGAUACGGGCAGGCUAGAGUUCGGUAGGGGAGAUCGGAAUUCCUGGUGUAGCGGUGAAAUGCGCAGAUAUCAGGAGGAACACCGGUGGCGAAGGCGGAUCUCUGGGCCGAUACUGACGCUGAGGAGCGAAAGCGUGGGGAGCGAACAGGAUUAGAUACCCUGGUAGUCCACGCCGUAAACGGUGGGCACUAGGUGUGGGCGACAUUCCACGUCGUCCGUGCCGCAGCUAACGCAUUAAGUGCCCCGCCUGGGGAGUACG
rnacentral:rRNA from 1 species